rnacentral:rRNA from 1 species
GACGAACGCUGGCGGCGUGCUUAACACAUGCAAGUCUUACGAGAAAAGGGUAGCAAUAUCCUGAGUAAAGUGGCGCACGGGUGAGUAACACGUAGGCAAUUUGCCUUUAGGACGGGAACAACCCGGGAAACCGGGGCGUAAUACCCGAUGAUGCAGCGGCUCCGCAUGGAGACAGUUGUUAAACCCCGCAAGGGGCCUAUUGAUGAGCCUGCGUCUGAUUAGCUAGUUGGUGAGGUAACGGCCCACCAAGGCAACGAUCAGUAGCUGGUCUGAGAGGAUGAUCAGCCACACUGGGAACUGAGACACGGUCCAGACUCCUACGGGAGGCAGCAGUGAGGAAUAUUGCGCAAUGGCCGAAAGGCUGACGCAGCGACGCCGCGUGAAGGAUGAAG